rnacentral:lncRNA from 1 species
GAACUCAUCAUCAGGCUGCGUACUCCAUGUGGGGUCUUGAGCAAUGUGAGAUUCCACGUGGUAGCAAAGAGAAACCAGGAUGUGAGUGCCUAUGGCUGGCAUCUCAGGCUCCAUCAAUUCUUUUUAUCUUUUCAUUGAGAAAGAUGUAAAAAGAGGGCAUGCAAUAGAGAUAAAUCUCCAGAUGAUUCACUUCCUCUAAAACCCACCUACUCUAACAUUGUCAAGGGAUUCCUACAAAAGAACAAUCAAGCAUUUGCCUGGAGGACUAGUGGACUAGAUUUCUUCUGUUUUAAUUUAUAACAUGAAAUAAGGAGCUUAAUCUACACCAGGCUCCUGGGAACCCCACUUAAUAGACUGCGCGUCAGGGAACUUUGCACAGACUGCUUUGCAAGAUGUCUUCCAUGCUAUUGGGAUAUUCUCUGGCCAACUAACUGAUUGCUGAUGUCUGUUUCAUGCCUCGGUGACUUCUUGUUGUUGACCUGGGUUCAUUCUCUCAUU